UCCAUGCUCGUUCUCAUAGGGGAUCAUCUUCAACUUCUGCUUCUAAUGUUGUUGAAUUAUAAACUCAGGUUAAUGAAUAUUUUAUCAAUUACUUGGUUUGUUCUUUUUAUGAUUAACUUCUUAGAUAUAAUUUUAUUUCAUCUGUUACAGGUGUCUUCAUUGACAACACAAGUCAAUGAAAUGAAUACAGUGAUAUCAUUAUUGUUGCAAAAUUAUCUGGGUCAAUUACCUUCACAGCUUGCUGCCAUAUUUCAACCAUCGGUAAUAAUUAUUAAAUUUAUUUGUAUGAUCUUUUUUUAAAUAUAUAACUGACUAACUAUUAUGUUAUAUUGCAGGUAUCUGAUCAAGGAAGUGUGCCAC
rnacentral:lncRNA from 1 species